ACUCUAAUAGUUUACUAAAAACAUUGGUCUUGUAAACCAAAGGGUGAUAGGCCCUAUCUACCCAUA
rnacentral:tRNA from 1 species